rnacentral:ribozyme from 1 species
GGGGCGCUUGCCCCUCUUAAUGCAGCCGCCGGUAAGGCGAUGGUCGCAAGCCCAUGAAAUGCAGAGCGAGAG